GCCUUCAUAGUUUAAUGGAUAAAACACAAACCUCCGGAGUUUGAAAUAUAGGUUCGAUUCCUAUUGAGGGCA
rnacentral:tRNA from 1 species